AUUGAACGCUGGCGGCAGGCCUAACACAUGCAAGUCGAACGGUAACAGGAAGAAGCUUGCUUCUUUGCUGACGAGUGGCGGACGGGUGAGUAAUGUCUGGGAAACUGCCUGAUGGAGGGGGAUAACUACUGGAAACGGUAGCUAAUACCGCAUAACGUCGCAAGACCAAAGAGGGGGACCUUCGGGCCUCUUGCCAUCGGAUGUGCCCAGAUGGGAUUAGCUAGUAGGUGGGGUAACGGCUCACCUAGGCGACGAUCCCUAGCUGGUCUGAGAGGAUGACCAGCCACACUGGAACUGAGACACGGUCCAGACUCCUACGGGAGGCAGCAGUGGGGAAUAUUGCACAAUGGGCGCAAGCCUGAUGCAGCCAUGCCGCGUGUAUGAAGAAGGCCUUCGGGUUGUAAAGUACUUUCAGCGGGGAGGAAGGGAGUAAAGUUAAUACCUUCGCUCAUUGACGUUACCCGAAGAAGAAGCACCGGCUAACUACGUG
rnacentral:rRNA from 1 species